GACGAACGCUGGCGGCGUGCUUAACACAUGCAAGUCGAACGGUAAGGCCCUUCGGGGUACACGAGUGGCGAACGGGUGAGUAACACGUGGGUGAUCUGCCCUGCACUUCGGGAUAAGCCUGGGAAACUGGGUCUAAUACCGGAUAGGACCACUGCCUGCAUGGGUGGUGGUGGAAAGCUUUUGCGGUGUGGGAUGGGCCCGCGGCCUAUCAGCUUGUUGGUGGGGUGAUGGCCUACCAAGGCGACGACGGGUAGCCGGCCUGAGAGGGUGACCGGCCACACUGGGACUGAGAUACGGCCCAGACUCCUACGGGAGGCAGCAGUGGGGAAUAUUGCGCAAUGGGCGCAAGCCUGAUGCAGCGACGCCGCGUGAGGGAUGACGGCCUUCGGGUUGUAAACCUCUUUCAGCACCGACGAAGCGCAAGUGACGGUAGGUGCAGAAGAAGGACCGGCCAACUACGUGCCAGCCGCCGCUGUUA
rnacentral:rRNA from 1 species